AAAUACAUACACUAGAACUAAAAGACCAGUUCUUUAUAUUUGCAUCUUCACACUGACUUUUUAGAAAUGAGCCCAUAUUUUUAUAUGCUGCAGAAAAUAUGUUUGACUGAAUUAACCAACUAAACUAAAAAGUUCUCCCUGUGUACUGGCUAGUUGCUGGGCUCUUUAUCCCUUGGCACCAUCUUCAUACUGUGGUUGAAGCAACCACAAAGCUAUUUUGGAGCAUAGACAAUCAUACCUUGUGGCCUGCAUUUAUUUAUCUCUUAUCCCUUUUACAGUAUUUACCAGGUGGCUGACUUUCUGCUGUCACAUCAGAAAACAUGAAGUGCAGCAGUUUGAUGAAUGCACAGAGGAGGCAGGAAUAUUGUUGCAAUAACUUCAUCUUGAUCCAAGAAGCCUUCACAUGCAUGCAAAUUAUCUGAACCAACUGCAAAGUUCCUAUGGUUAAGUUUCUCCAUUCUUAACCGUUCAAAAGAAAAAAUGCCGUUCUCACAGCCCCAGAUCACAACCCCCAAGUAAAAGUACUGUUAUACACAAGUAAAAAAUGUCAAAUAUACUUGCGUUCUUGUUGACCCUCCCCAAAGAGGGGUCUGACGUGAGUGGAGAGUAGCCU
rnacentral:lncRNA from 1 species